rnacentral:rRNA from 1 species
GAUGAACGCUGACAGAAUGCUUAACACAUGCAAGUCAACUUGAACUUCGGUUUGGGUGGCGGACGGGUGAGUAACGCGUACAGAACUUGCCUCACAGCUAGGGACAACAUUUGGAAACGAAUGCUAAUACCUGAUAUUAUGAUUAUAUGGCAUCGUAUAAUUAUGACAGCUAUAUGCGCUGUGAGAGAGCUUUGCGUCCCAUUAGCUAGUUGGAGAGGUAACAGCUCACCAAGGCGAUGAUGGGUAGCCGGCCUGAGAGGGUGAUCGGCCACAAGGGGACUGAGACACGGCCCUUACUCCUACGGGAGGCAGCAGUGGGGAAUAUUGGACAAUGGACCGAGAGUCUGAUCCAGCAAUUCUGUGUGCACGAUGAAGUUUUUCGGAAUGUAAAGUGCUUUCAGUUGGGAAGAAAAAAAUGACGGUACCAACAGAAGAAGUGACGGCUAAAUACGUG